CCUACGGGGGACUGCAGUGAGGAAUAUUGGUCAAUGGGCGGAAGCCUGAACCAGCCAAGUAGCGUGCGGGAUGAAGGCCCUACGGGUCGUAAACCGCUUUUGCACGGGGAUAACACCCUCCACUUGUGGAGGUCUGCAGGUACCGUGCGAAUAAGGGCCGGCUAAUUCCGUGCCAGCAGCCGCGGUAAUACGGAAGGCCCGAGCGUUAUCCGGAUUCAUUGGGCUUAAAGGGAGCGUAGGCGGGCGUUCAAGUCAGCUGUAAAAUCGCGCGGCUCAACCGCGCCCCGCAGUUGAAACUGGACGCCUUGAGUUCACAACAGGCAGGCGGAAUUCGUGGUGUAGCGGUGAAAUGCAUAGAUAUCACGAGGAACCCCGAUUGCGAAGGCAGCUUACCAAGCUACUUCUGACGUUGAGGCACGAAAGCGUGGGGAGCAAACAGGAUUAGAUACCCCAGUAGUC
rnacentral:rRNA from 1 species